UGGGGAAUAUUGCGCAAUGGGGGAAACCCUGACGCAGCAACGCCGCGUGCGGGAUGAAGGCCUUCGGGUUGUAAACCGCUUUCAGCAGGGAAGACAUCGACGGUACCUGCAGAAGAAGCCCCGGCUAACUACGUGCCAGCAGCCGCGGUAAUACGUAGGGGGCGAGCGUUAUCCGGAUUCAUUGGGCGUAAAGCGCGCGCAGGCGGUUGCUAAAGCGGAACCUCUAAUCUCGGGGCUUAACCGCGAGCCGGGUUCCGAACUGGACGACUCGAGUGCGGUAGAGGCAGAUGGAAUUCCCGGUGUAGCGGUGGAAUGCGCAGAUAUCGGGAAGAACACCAACGGCGAAGGCAGUCUGCUGGGCCGUCACUGACGCUGAGGCGCGAAAGCUGGGGGAGCGAACAGG
rnacentral:rRNA from 1 species